AGUGAACGCUGGCGGUAGGCCUAACACAUGCAAGUCGAACGGCAGCACAGUAAGAGCUUGCUCUUACGGGUGGCGAGUGGCGGACGGGUGAGGAAUAUAUCGGAAUCUACUUUUUCGUGGGGGAUAACGUAGGGAAACUUACGCUAAUACCGCAUACGACCUACGGGUGAAAGCAGGGGAUCUUCGGACCUUGCGCGAUUGAAUGAGCCGAUGUCGGAUUAGCAGUUGGCGGGGUAAAGGCCCACCAAGGCGACGAUCCGUAGCUGGUCUGAGAGGAUGAUCAGCCACACUGGAACUGAGACACGGUCCAGACUCCUACGGGAGGCAGCAGUGGGGAAUAUUGGACAAUGGGCGCAAGCCUGAUCCAGCCAUACCGCGUGGGUGAAGAAGGCCUUCGGGUUGUAAAGCCCUUUUGUUGGGAAAGAAAAGCAGCAGGUUAAUACCCCGCUGUUCUGACGGUACCCAAAGAAUAAGCACCGGCUAACUUCGUG
rnacentral:rRNA from 1 species